rnacentral:lncRNA from 1 species
AUAGUUCCCUCCUCCGCCAGAGUAACCUUCCACGUCCAGGGGAAACUUUGCUCUAAGUUCGGCACCCUUGAUAUUAGAAUGCAAGGCAACGGAGAACAUGGUCGGUUCAAAGCAAGCCAAGACCCUUUCAAGCAGCCGACUCAAAUUCAAAUCUUGAAGAUCAUAGCCCACAGCCUCAAAACUUGCAUAGCUGAAACCAUCUUCUGGAGUGACGUGGAUUGUGGAAAUUGCACUCCCUUCAAUGGCAUUCAUAGAGUAACCACAUGGGUCAAAAUCAAAAUCACAGAUCU